UGGCAUUGCCUUGAAACCAUGUUGUUAAGAACUGAACUUAUUCCUUUCAUCGUGGAAUGUUUCAGAGCUAGUUCCAACUCAAUAGGCACUUAACCACCCUCAAGUAGUAGUAGUGGUAGCAGCAGCAGUAGUAGUAGUGUUAGUAGUCUCAACGAAUACGUCUUUGAAGUGAUGCAGAGAAGUCAGUCGUGUUCAGCGAUCACCAUGCAGCCUUCUGGGAGCAAAAUGGACAGCAAUGAAAUCAGUUCACCUUUGCAGACGAACCCCUACGGAAUCCCCGCCAGAUAUAAAAUCCGGGAGGUUGUGGGAGAGGGUUGCUUCGGAAAGGUGGUGAGAUGUUUGGAUAAGGAAACCAAGCAGACUGUGGCUAUAAAGAUUCCUAAAUACUUGGACAGCUCUUCUAAGAAAGAGGUCGCCAUGCUGAAACGUCUCAGGGACCUCAACCUUGACAAACACAACAUUGUCAAGUUUAUUGAUAGCUGGCAGUCCCCUUCUGGAGAUGUGGUUGUGUUGGAGGCGUUAGAUAUAUGCCUAGAUGACUACAUUAAGAAGAGAAGACAGAUGCCAAUGCUUCUGAGUGACAUCAGAGGCAUCGUCCAACAGUUGGCCACAGCACUUGAUGCUCUGAAAGGGAUCGGGGUGAUCCACACUGAUGUUAAACUCCAGAACAUAAUGAUGGAGAAUCAUCGCACGCGACCUUUCAAAGUCAAACUGAUAGACUUCGGCUUGGCCAUUCCCACAUCAGAAGCCAGACAGGGCAUGCAUCUGCAGCCACUCUCUUUAAGGUCUCCGGAAAUUAUUUUGGGCUGUCCAUUUUCUGAGGCCAUUGAUAUGUGGUCCCUGGGCUGUGUGAUGACCAAGAUGAUCUGUGGCUAUCUACCAUUCUCAGGAGGAUCUGAGUUUGAACUACUAAGGGCCUGUAUUGAUGUCCUGGGUCAGCCAGCGGACCAUGUUUAUAAUGGUGGUCGAAUGACAAAAGUUUUCUGCACAAGGACCAACUCCAACACUUGGAGGCUCAAGACACAUUUGGAAUACAGGGGAUUUAAGAUGAACAAAUUCCACAGGUUCCAAACUCUGGAUGAUCUGAAAACAAUGCGUGAGGAGGAGAAGAACAAAGAUGAGGCUGUAGAGCGAGAGCAGUGUAUCGAGCUCCUGAAGGCCAUGUUGACCAUUGAUCCGAAUGAGAGGAUCACUCCCUCAGAAGUCCUCGCUCAUCCAUUCAUCACCAGAGACUACCCGAGAUCGCAGGUGAACGUCAGUGAGUGGUCAAGUGUUGAAGACUUGGCUUCUUCAACUGACGAGUCGGUCAGCUACAGUCCACCUCCCACAGUUCUACCAUCAGGUGUGAUCAUGGUUAAGGCUGCCCCGCCUGAGAACACACAGCUGCUGGAUGAACAGCCUUCCAUAUGUGAAGACCCAACCACAUGUGACAUCGGGACAAAGAAGAAGAGGAAGAAGAAGAACAUCUUCCGAUGCAUCACGUCUUGGAUGAAGAAGAAGUUCAGCUGCUGUGUUGGCUGUGUUGAUGAGGAUCAGGAAUGUGUGAAGUGAAUUUUUCCCGUGUUUGUAUGGUUUACUCCGGGUGCUCCGGUUUCCCAAUUUACUAUAGUGUAGUAUUUUUUAAAAGCCUCUGUGUGUGUGCGUGUGUGUGUGUGCGCGCCGUGCGGGUGUGUGUGUAUGUGUGUGUGUGUGUGUGUGUGUGUGUGUGUGUGUGUGUGUGUGUGUGUGUACGUGCGUGAAUUAAUGUCUGGGCUAACGCAGUCAACACAUCAAGAAAUUUAGGCAUCACUUCUUCAAAUGAGGACUUUCAGUGUGCCAUUCCUCUGAAGGAUCAAGACAGCACUAACAUUCAGCCAGAACACACUGCGGCUGGAAGAUCAGGAGAGCACAGUUAGUCCAGGCUGAACAAGAUGUCAGAGUCCUCAGUGAGCAACACUGAAAGAAACACAAAGUCUGCGAUAUGUGAGGACCCGUCCACAUCUGAAGAAGAGGAAGAAGAAGAAGAACUGCUUCCAGUCUUCUCUUGGGUGAAGAGAGACCUUUGGAUGCUGUGUUUCCUUCACUGUUAGUCACGUCUCCUCACCACACGUCCAGCGACUUAGCUGGAAACAUUGGUAGGGCGGCUUUAGCGGCAAUACAGAGUUUUAGGAAUACAUUUGCAAUGACAGCAGCAGUUACAGCCAUAGCUACAGCAUCCGCCACAGACUUACUGAGUGUUUUGGUGGUGCUAAGUCGCUGGAUAUGCUGGCAGGCAACAUGAAAGCCCAGUGAGGAGACGUGACUGACAGUGCAGCACAAUCACUCCGUCUGACUACCUGAAGAAGACCUAAGAAUCCACCUAGAUUUAAUAUUUAGCAUUUAGAUUUGACAUUGAGAUUUAACAUUUCAAGUGUUUUUUUGGCCUUUUCUGGCUUUAUUGAUAGUAUAGCUGAAGGUGUGACAGGAAACGGGGUAAGA